GACGAACGCUGGCGGCGUGCCUAACACAUGCAAGUCGAGCGAGGUCCAUUCGGUAGCAAUACCGAUGAAGACCUAGCGGCGAACGGGUGAGUAACACGUGAGAAACCUGCCCCAAAGUCUGGGAUAACCCGGGGAACCCGAGCUAAUACCGGAUACCUUCUUUUGAUCGCAUGGUCAGCUGAAGAAAGUUUUUUCGCUUUGGGAGGGUCUCGCGGCCUAUCAGUUUGUUGGUGGGUAACGGCCUACCAAGACAUCGACGGGUAGCUGGUCUGAGAGGACGAUCAGCCACACUGGGACUGAGACACGGCCCAGACUCCUACGGGAGGCAGCAGUGGGGAAUCUUGCGCAAUGGGCGAAAGCCUGACGCAGCAACGCCGCGUGCGGGAUGACGGCCUCGG
rnacentral:rRNA from 1 species